rnacentral:rRNA from 1 species
UUAUCGUUUAUUUGAUAGUACUUUCUACUUGGAUACCUGUGGUAAUUCUAGAGCUAAUACAUGCUAAAAGCCCCGACUUCGGAAGGGGUGUAUUUAUUAGAUAAAAAACCAAUGCCCUUCGGGGCUUCUGGGCGACUCAUAAUAACUUCACGAAUCGCAUGGCCUUGCGCCGGCGAUGGUUCAUUCAAAUUUCUGCCCUAUCAACUUUCGAUGGUAGGAUAGUGGCCUACCAUGGUGUCUACGGGUAACGGGGAAUUAGGGUUCUAUUCCGGAGAGGGAGCCUGAGAAACGGCUACCACAUCCAAGGAAGGCAGCAGGCGCGCAAAUUACCCAAUCCCGACGCGGGGAGGUAGUGACAAUAAAUACUGAUACAGGGCUCUUUCGGGUCUUGUAAUUGGAAUGAGUACAAUUUAAAUCCCUUAACGAGGAACAAUUGGAGGGCAAGUCUGGUGCCAGCAGCCGCGGUAAUACCAGCUCCAAUAGCGUAUAUUAAAGUUGUUGCAGUUAAAAAGCUCGUAGUUGAAACUUGGGCCUGGCUGGCUGGUCCGCCUCACCGCGUGCACUGGUUUGGCCGGGCCUUUCCUUCUGGGGGAGCCGUAUGCCCUUAGUUGGGUGUGCGGGGGAUCCCAGGGACUUUUACUUUGAAAAAAUUAGAGUGUUCAAAGCAGGCCUAUGCUCGGAUACAUUAGCAUGGGAAUAAUAGAAUAGGACGUGUGGUUCUAUUUUGUUGGUUUCUAGGACCGC